rnacentral:rRNA from 1 species
UACGAAGGGGGGCUAGCGUUGCUCGGAAUCACUGGGCGUAAAGGGUGCGUAGGCGGGUCUUUUAAGUCAGGGGGUGAAAUCCUGGAGCUCAACUCCAGAACUGCCUUUGAUACUGAGGAUCUCGAGUUCGGGAGAGGUGAGUGGAACUGCGAGUGUAGAGGUGAAAUUCGUAGAUAUUCGCAAGAACACCAGUGGCGAAGGCGGCUCACUGGCCCGAUACUGACGCUGAGGCACGAAAGCGUGGGGGAGCAAACAGG